rnacentral:tRNA from 1 species
GUGGCUGUAGUUCAGUGGUAGAACGCUUCCCUGUGACGGAAGAUGUCGCCGGUUCGACCCCGGUCAGCCACCCCA